GACGAACGCUGGCGGCGUGCCUAACACAUGCAAGUUGAGCGACGAACCAGGGCUUGCCCUGGGGCAAAGCAGCGAACGGGUGAGUAACACGUGGGUAACCUGCCCCGAUAACCGGGACAACCCGAGGAAACUCGGGCUAAUACCGGAUGUGCUCGCCGGACACCAGUCCGGCGCGUAAAGGAAGCUUCGGCCUCCGUAUCGGGAGGGGCCCGCGGCCCAUUAGCUAGUUGGUGAGGUAACGGCUCACCAAGGCCGCGAUGGGUAGCUGGUCUGAGAGGACGAUCAGCCACACUGGGACUGAGACACGGCCCAGACUCCUACGGGAGGCAGCAGUGGGGAAUCUUGCGCAAUGCGCGAAAGCGUGACGCAGCAACGCCGCGUGGGGGAAGAAGGCCUUAGGGUUGUAAAGCUCUUUCAGCUGGGAAGAUAAUGACGGUACCAGCAGAAGAAGCCCCGGCUAACUCCGUGCCAGCAGCCGCAGUAAAAC
rnacentral:rRNA from 1 species